UCCAUGUCUCUCUCUGUACGCAGAAUUGAUGCUAUGGUGGCAUCUCAGGUUUAUAUUUCUGUGGCCUCAGCUUGGCCCUGCAAUUGAACUGUUGAAGGGCUGUCACCUCUGUCCCUUUUAAUGGAUGUGACUGCGGAGAGCUGGGUAGAGGGUGUUCUUUCAAGCAGAAGGGUAUCAAUGGGGCUCAGCUUUAGUGGUGUCUGCCUCACCAGAACUUAUGCCUGCAGCAGAUGCUCUCUAACCAAAUGGCCAAGUGCUUCAUCAAUGCAACAACAGUUGUUCUGGAGACGGGCUUUGCUUCCUUCACAGAGAGAUGUCUUGCUUCAGACCCUGUCCCCCACGGCCCUGCUGUGCCUCUGGCCCAACCCCACUUGCAAGCAGCUGCAGUGAGCCCUGUGUUGCCCGCUGCGCUGACUCGACGGUGUUCAUCGAGCCCUCGCCGGUGGUGGUGACCCUGCCGGGCCCCAUCCUCAACUCUUUCCCUCAGAGCACGGCCGUGGGAUCGUCUCUGUCAGCUGCUGUUGGGAGCUCCCUCAGUGCCAGUGGAGUUCCCAUCUCUUCUGGGGGCUCCCUUGGUCUGGGCGGGUCCGGGAUGUGUCUGCCUGUCCCCCGCUGCAGUCUGAACUGCUGAAGCUGGCGAAUCAUCCCUUCGGGAGCAGGACGGAAGAUAGGACCCUGCAGCAGCAGGUCAUGGACAUGUCUUGCAGACAGGCUUGGUGUCCUCAUGCCACCUGGCAGGAGGGACCUGUGCCCACUUCUCCUCGCUGCACAGCUGGUGUGGCCGUGUCUCCUCUGGCUCUUCUUUGCUCUGAGCCCUCCGGAAAGGGCUCCUUUUCUUCUGCUUUGCUGAACCCCCUGCUGAAAGGGAGAGGGUGCUGGAUUUAGGGACCACUCUUGCUGGGCUGCCAUUGCCACCAGGGUGAGCAGAAUGGGAAAAGGCAAGCGCUUUGUAUGCAGCUUGUCCUUGGGGAACGGGCCAUCCUCUGUGCGUCCCUCAAUCCUGCAGAUGUUUUCCUUGGUCUCUGUUCUGUGCCACUGCAUUUCCCCCCUUCUCAUUAAAGCCUUUGUGCAGCAGA